AGAGCGAACGCUGGCGGCAGGCCUAACACAUGCAAGUCGAGCGCCCCGCAAGGGGAGCGGCAGACGGGAGAGUAACACGUGGGAACGUACCCUUUGGUUCGGAACAACACAGGGAAACUUGUGCUAAUACCGGAUAAGCCCUUACGGGGAAAGAUUUAUUGCCAAAGGAUCGGCCCGCGUCUGAUUAGCUUGUUGGUGAGGUAACGGCUCACCAAGGCUACGAUCAGUAGCUGGUCUGAGAGGAUGAUCAGCCUCACUGGGACUGAGACACGGCCCAGACUCCUACGGGAGGCAGCAGUGGGGAAUAUUGGACAAUGGGCGCAAGCCUGAUCCAGCCAUGCCGCGUGGAUGAUGAAGGCCCUAGGGUUGUAAAGUCCUUUCGGACGGGAAGAUAAUGACGGUACCCGUAGAAGAAGCCCCGGCUAACGUUCGCGCCAGCAGCCGC
rnacentral:rRNA from 1 species